CGGUAAUACGUAGGGUGCGAGCGUUAAUCGGAAUUACUGGGCGUAAAGCGUGCGCAGGCGGAUUGUUAAGCAAGACGUGAAAUCCCCGGGCUUAACCUGGGAAUGGCGUUUUGAACUGGCAGUCUAGAGUGUGUCAGAGGGGGGUGGAAUUCCACGUGUAGCAGUGAAAUGCGUAGAGAUGUGGAGGAACACCGAUGGCGAAGGCAGCCCCCUGGGAUAACACUGACGCUCAUGUACGAAAGCGUGGGUAGCAAACAGGAUUAGAUACCCUGGUAGUCCACGCCCUAAACGAUGUCAACUGGUUGUUGGGGGAGUGAAAUCCCUUAGUAACGAAGCUAACGCGUGAAGUUGACCGCCUGGGGAGUACGGUCGCAAGAUUAAA
rnacentral:rRNA from 1 species